rnacentral:rRNA from 1 species
GACGAACGCCGGCGGUGUGCUUAACACAUGCAAGUGGAGCGACGAACCAGGGCUUGCCCUGGGGCAGAGCCGCGAAUGGGUGAGUAACUCGUGGGUAACCUACCCCGAUGACUGGGACAACCCGAGGAAACUCGGGCUAAUACCGGAUGUGUCCGACGUCCACGAGGACGUCGAGCAAAGGAAGCUUCGGCCUCCGCAUCGGGAGGGGCCCGCGGCCCAUUAGCUUGUUGGUGGGGUAACGGCCUACCAAGGCUGCGAUGGGUAGCUGGUCUGAGAGGACGACCAGCCACACUGGGACUGAGACACGGCCCAGACUCCUACGGGAGGCAGCAGUGGGGAAUCUUGCGCAAUGCGCGAAAGCGUGACGCAGCAACACCGCGUGAGGGAAGACGGCCUUCGGGUUGUAAACCUCUUUCAGGAGGGACGAAGGCCGGCCGGUUAACAGCCGUGCCGGCUGACGGUACCUCCACAAGAAGCUCCGGCUAACUACGUGCCAGCCGCCGCAGUAACAC